UCCUCUGGCGGGUUGCGUGCGGAAGCCUUCGGGCUUGCCGGUUUCCUUGUGGGCCGGUAGUUCCAACCGCGUGCAGCCCGCCUUUUUU
rnacentral:antisense_RNA from 1 species